rnacentral:lncRNA from 1 species
CUUGAUCUUCUUAACUGCUUUUGCUAGUUCUUGUGAUACUAUUGCUGGGAUAUCUUUUGUAUUGUUACUCAUAGAAGGUUCCUGUUUUUUUGUAUAUUGGCUCUGUUGAUAAGCUCUCUUUUAUCAUUGAUUGUAUUUAGUUUGUUUGCCAGUCCUUAUGCCUCUCCAUGCUGAAGAGGCAUAAUGACUCUUUAGCUAUUGCUUUUCUCAAUGAUCAUUUGAAUCUUUUCUGCAUUAAAUCGUCAUAUAUCUUCUCUGAUUUCUUUUGUACUACAGUACUUUGCACAAAAGAAAAUCAGCUGCUUUUUCUCUAUAUUUUGUCUGGUUGGUAAUGGAUUUUAUCUUCAUCUUCCUUCUCUUUUUGAUCAGGGUGUUGAAUUGAUUGAAUAUGAAAAUAUCUUUUGAUUGUGCAGUUGUUGUUGGCCAGGAUAAAGUCAAUCUCGUUCUUUCUAUUGGGGCUGAUCUAUGUCCAUUUUUAUUGCUCUUUCUUGUUGAAGAAGGUGUUAUCCUCCUGGAUCCAAUGGGAUGGUUAGAACGGGCAUUAGCCUACUGCGGUUGUGAUAUAAUCACAUGGGUAAGAAUUGCAGAGUGAGAAGA